rnacentral:rRNA from 1 species
GACAACGCUGGCGGCGUGCCUAAUACAUGCAAGUCGAGCGGGGAUUAUGCUUGAUCGCUUCGGUGAGACGGCAUAUAUCCUAGCGGCGGACGGGUGAGUAACGCGUGGGUAAUCUACCUCGUAGUUCGGGAUAACAGGCCGAAAGGCUUGCUAAUACCGGAUGAGUUCAUGCUUAUGCAUAUAGGCAUGAAGAAAGGGCUAGCCCGCUAUGAGAUGAGCCCGCGUCCCAUUAGCUUGUUGGUGGGGUAAUGGCCUACCAAGGCAACGAUGGGUAGCCGGCCUGAGAGGGUGUACGGCCACACUGGGACUGAGACACGGCCCAGACUCCUACGGGGGGCAGCAGUAGGGAAUUUUCGGCAAUGGGCGAAAGCCUGACCGAGCGACGCCGCGUGAGGGACGAAGGCCUUCGGGUUGUAAACCUCUGUCUGGGGGGAUGAGAACGGACGGUACCCCCGGAGGAAGCCCCGGCUAACUACGUG